AGGUGUUGCAUGGUUGUCGUCAGCUCGUGUCGUGAGAUGUUGGGUUAAGUCCCGCAACGAGCGCAACCCCCGUUCUGUGUUGCCAGCGUAAAGUCGGGCACUCACAGGAGACUGCCGGAGACAAUUCGGAGGAAGGUGGGGAUGACGUCAAAGUCCUCAUGGCCCUUAUGACCUGGGCUACACACGCGCUACAAUGGCCUGUACAGAGGGAAGCGAAAGAGCGAUCUGGAGCGGAAUCUCACAAAACAGGUCUCAGUUCGGAUUGCAGGCUGAAACCCGCCUGCAUGAAGCCGGAAUUGCUAGUAAUCGCAGAUCAGCUACGCUGCGGUGAAUACGUUCUCGGGCCUU
rnacentral:rRNA from 2 species